GGCCGCGUAGCUCAGCUGGUAGAGCAGCGGAUUGAAAAUCCGCGUGUCGCUGGUUCGAUUCCGGCCGCGGCCACCA
rnacentral:tRNA from 2 species